rnacentral:rRNA from 1 species
AUUGAACGCUGGCGGAAUGCUUUACACAUGCAAGCCGAACGGUAGAGGGGGCAACCCCUCGAGAGUGGCUAACGGGUGAGUAAUAUAUCGGAACGUGCCCAGUCGUGGGGGAUAACGUAGCGAAAGUUACGCUAAUACCGCAUACGAUCAAAGGAUGAAAGCGGGGGAUCGCAAUACCUCGCGCGAUUGGAGCGGCCGAUAUCAGAUUAGGGAGUUGGUGGGGUAAAGGCUCACCAAGCCAACGAGCUGUAGCUGGUCUGAGAGGACGACGACCCACACUGGAACUGAGACACAGUCCAGAAUCCUACGGGAGGCAGCAGUGGUGAAUUUUGGAUAAUGGACGCAAGUCUGAGCCAGCCAUUCCGCGUGCAGGAUGAAGGCCCUCGGGUUGUAAACUGCUUUUGUACGGAACGAAAAGGUCUCUCUUAAUACGGGGGGCUCAUGACGGUACCGUAAGAAUAAGCACCGGCUAACUACGUGCCAGCCGCCGCGGUAA